UACGAAGGGGGCGAGCGUUGUUCGGAUUUACUGGGCGUAAAGGGCGCGCAGGCGGCUUAUUUUGUCAGGCGUGAAAGCCCCGGGCUUAACCUGGGAACUGCGUUUGAUACGGAUGGGCUAGAGUUCGGGAGAGGAGAGUGGAAUUCCCAGUGUAGAGGUGAAAUUCGUAGAUAUUGGGAAGAACACCGGUGGCGAAGGCGGCUCUCUGGACCGAGUACGUGACGCUGAGGCGCGAAAGCGUGGGGAG
rnacentral:rRNA from 1 species